UGGCGGCGUGCUUACACAUGCAAGUCGAGCGGCAGCGCGGGAGCAAUCCUGGCGGCGAGCGGCGAACGGGUGAGUAAUGCUUCGGAAUCUGCCCUUUAGUGGGGAAUAACCAGUCGAAAGACUGGCUAAUACCGCAUACGACCUACGGGUGAAAGCAGGGGAUCGCAAGACCUUGCGCUAAUGGAUGAGCCGAAGUCGGAUUAGCUAGUUGGUGAGGUAACGGCUCACCAAGGCGACGAUCCGUAGCUGGUCUGAGAGGACGACCAGCCACACUGGGACUGAGACACGGCCCAGACUCCUACGGGAGGCAGCAGUGGGGAAUAUUGGACAAUGGGGGAAACCCUGAUCCAGCGACGCCGCGUGUGUGAAGAAGGCCUGCGGGUUGUAAAGCACUUUUAGUGGGGAGGAAAACCCCUGACCUAACACGUCAGGAAUUGACUUAACCCAAAGAAAAAGCACCGGCUAACUCUGUGCCAGCAGCCGCGGUAAUACAGAGGGUGCAAGCGUUAAUCGGAAUUACUGGGCGUAAAGCGUGCGUAGACGGUUAUCUAAGUCGGAUGUGAAAUCCCCGGGCUCAACCUGGGAAUUGCAUUCGAGACUGAAUAGCUAGGGUGCGGAAGAGGGAAGCGGAAUUUCCGGUGUAGCGGUGAAAUGCGUUAGAUAUCGGAAGGAACAUCAGUGGCGAAAGCGGCUUCCUGGUCCAGCACCGACGUUCAGGCACGAAAGCGCGGGGAGCAAACAGGAUUAGAUACCCUGGUAGUCCACGCCAUAAACGAUGAGGAACUAGACGUUGGGAGGGGUU
rnacentral:rRNA from 1 species